rnacentral:rRNA from 1 species
ACCAAGGUAUAAAAACAUUUUUUUAAAACUUUUUAAAACAUUAUUAAAUUUAGUAAAGGAGAUUAAAACUUAUUUUAUAAUACUUAGAAAAAGUACUGUAAAGGAAUAAAAUAAAUUAUAUAAAAGAAAAAAUAAAAGCUUGUACCUUUUGUAUCAUGGUUUAACUAGAUAUUUAUUUUAUAUUUAAAUUUCUCGAAAUCUAAUGAGCUAUCUUUAUUCAGUAUUUUAGAAUAUAAAGGAUUAAUUGUGGCAAAAAUUUUCCCAGAAAUAAAGAUAGAAAUGAAAUUUUAUCCGUAUUAGAUGAUAGCUAGUUCUCCUAAAAGGCAUAUAAGUGCUUUAGAUUAAUUUUUAUUUCUGCAAUAAAACAGCAAAACAAAUUUUAAUUUAGCUAAAUUUUUGAGGAUAAGCUCGAAAAUUAGUAUUAUAUCUGCAUAUUAUUUUAGUUAAAAUUUAAGCUUGAAAAUAGCUAUAAUUUUGAUUUUGUUAUAAUUUCAUUAAAUAUAUAAAAAAAUAAUUUAUUUGCUUUUAAAUAAAAGGAGAAAACUUAAAAACUAAAAUAAGUUAAACUUAUGUUAAAAUGAGUAUUAAUUAAAUUAUAAAACUCUGAUGUUUUAUAUCUCAGAGUAUUAUUUUCCAUACCAAUUUUAAAUCACAAAAAGGAACUCGGCAAAUAAUCAUUCUGCCUGUUUAGCAAAAACAUGGCUCCUUGCCAAAAAUAGAUAAGGAGUCGGACCUGCCCAGUGAAUAUUUUUUAACGGCCGCGGUACUCUGACCGUGCAAAGGUAGCAUAAUCAUUUGCCUUAUAAUUGAAGGCUAGUAUGAAUGGUUUGACAAGAAUGUAGCUGUCUCUUUGUGAUUUACUAGAAUUUUAUUUUCAGGUGAAGAAGCCUGCAUAAAAUUAAAAGACAAGAAGACCCUAUCGAGCUUGAAAAAAAUUAGUAGGUAAUAAAUUAAUAAUUUUAAAAAAUUUACUAUUAAAUAUUUUAGUUGGGGCGACUGAGGAACAAAAAAAGCUUCCUUUAAAACUUUUUUAUACUAAAUAAGUAUUGAUCCAAAAUAUUUUGAUUAAAAAAAUUAGUUACCGUAGGGAUAACAGCAUUAUCUUUUUUAAGAGUUCUUAUCGAAAAAGAGGUUUGUGACCUCGAUGUUGGACCAGAAUAUCCUAAAGAUGCAGCAGUCUUUAAGGGUUGGUCUGUUCGACCAUUAAAAUUCUACGUGAUCUGAGUUCAGACCGGCGUGAGCCAGGUCAGUUUCUAUCUUUAAUUUUUGUAAUAAACUUAGUACGAAAGGACCAGCUUAU